CUCUUUCAAUGUGCGCCGUGCAUCUUGCAACUCAUCAUUACUUUGGCGCUCUUUCAACAGGAGAGUCUGGUUUAGGGACUCCAUACCAUCCAUCUCCUCCAUUUUAUCUUUCAGCUCCUCAUUCAUCUCUUUAAUCUUAUUUUGUACAGCUGCAUCGUCAUUGCCUCCAAGGUGCUUCAUAACCUCUAGUUUUCCUUUAAGUUCUGCUAUUUCCAUUUCCAGUUUUUGCUUCGCAUCAAUGUCCCUCUCUAGCUCAAGAAUCUUUUUCAAGGCCUCCUCCUUCUCCCUCUGGAUAUUUAACAUCAACAUGAGUAAAGCUCUGUUAACUUUGUGCUAACAACAAUGGCAGAAACCCCAACUUGCAGGUUUUGCAAGAACCAUAUGCAGAAAUAUCCUUGCUCAAAAAAUAAAUACACACGCAAAGAGAGAGAGAGGAGCAGGGGGGGAGAAACAUGAUUAUGAAUGACACCUUUUGUUCUUCAACCAGUCUCAAGACACUCACAUCAGCUUUUCUUUGUUCCACAGAGGCCAUUUGAAGUGCUGAAUUUCUCACAUCAUUCUGAAUCAACAAAAUAAAGUUCAACACAUUAUAGUUCGAAAGAGUUAGCUUUAGGGGACCAGAAGCUUGAAAGAUACAUUCUACCCACAUAAUAUAGGCACAAUGGAGCGCCAAAAUAAUGUAAGCCACUGCAGCUUUAUCAUGAUAAGAGAGAAAUAUUUAUAUAUAAUUUUAACUCAUGCUGGAAUUUGAUACCUGUUUCUUCUCCUCAUCAAGCUUUUGCUUUUCUCGCUCAGUUAAGGCUUCACGUUUAUUCAGUUCUCUUCCCCAAGAAUCAAGCUUCUUCUUCUUGCUCUCCAGCUCUAAGCUUAACAUUUCCUGCUCCAGCAGGACCUUCUGUACAUGCUCACGUGCAAGGCGUUGCAUCUUUCGUGAUUCUGCACAAGUACACCUUAGUUAUACUUUAGAAACUAGUGGAACUUUCUAUUAACUGAUGAAUAUCCAAAAAAGGAGCUCUUUAGCUUGUGAUCUUUGUCAAUCAAGGAUCUAGUGACACCUUACUUCAAAGCAAAUGUAAGAUGCAUAAAGUUAGUUACAUAUUAAAUAAAACUAUUUUAAAGAGACACGCUCUAGUUAAUCCCUUUCGUCCAAGUAAUAAAUGAAACAAGCUAAUUAUAGAGUGGAUGAAAAAGAACUGGCACUUUACAAUGUCAAGUCUAAACAUUUUACCAAUCAGACACAUGGCAGGGACAUCAGAUAAGAAACAUAAAUUUCACAGUAUCUGCAGACCAAAUAGAACAAUAAAAAAAAAAAAAAAAAAGUUCGCAACUAAAAACCUUCAAAAAAAGAACGGUGUAGCAUGUCUUUCUCCGCGAGCAUCUGACGAAGAGACAGUGUAUUCAAAUUGAAUUUUGUCUGCAGCUCAUCCAGAUUUUCAUUUUUCAUGUCAAUUUCAUUGGCUAGAUUUGCUACAACUUCCUUUCUACCCUGUGUUUCUUCUUUAAUAAGGUCCGAGAUAGUCUUCAGUUCCCCCUUCUCUCGCAGAUAUUCGCCUAAAGCCCCUUCUGUUAUAUAAUCAUCUUCUCGGGCAACCCAUCCAUAUAAAUUUGGACCAGGGCAAUCUCUAUGGGAUUUCCAUUCUUGUUUGCUGCAGUGAGAGGCUUCGAAAGACUUCUCAAAUUCCAUCGCACCCUUAAAACCAGUCCAAUCACUAUUAAAUCUCACAACAGCUUCGGAGACUGUUGCUUGGUUAUCACAGAAAAGCUUAACUUCCAAAGGCAUAUACAAGGAGAACUUUUUUAACCAAUACUCCUUGUCAUCUGGAGAUCUUCCAUUUGCUGUUUCCUUUGAUACAUUAACGAAAAUCCCAGUCCAAGGCCAAAAGAACAGUUCAUCUUUUUCAGAUUCUGAACGCUCUGGAGUCACAGCACGUUUAGGUAUUGGCUCAGCCUCAUUCACUAGGUCUGUUUCCAGAUACUUUGCAAGUGCUAAAUGGUUUGCCUUCUGUUUAGCACUACGGUUAGCUGAACCCUUGCCAACCCCUGUAGCAUGUUGAAGAAGAUCUUUGUACUUGUAGUCUUGCUUUUUCUUCCCUGCACAGAAGGGACAUCUAAGGGAUCCAUUUGGGCCCUUAACUUUCAGUUUUCCUUUUCUUAAUUCUUCAUAAGGCUUCUCUUUAAACUCAAAAAUCUCAGAGUCACUCAAAUCUGAUUCUUCGCCUGAACUGCUACUCAUCUGGAUUUGUUUAAAAAAAACUAGAGUUAAUUCUAAGGAUUGUACAUAAUUGAUAAUACAAACAAAUAUCAAGGCAAAUCAAGCAAAAUCUUAAACAAGCAAUUUAAUGGAAUUGAAUCAUAGCUGAAGAUGUUAACAAUAGCCUACAGCGCAUGUAAAAAGCAGGUAACACGCAGAAACUAUGAACGCAAGCAACUAAGAGGUCUUGAAUCAUAGCUGAGUAUGGUACAGAUAGCAUGCUUAAAUCCAUUAACAUAGAAGCUUUAGAACAAGCAGCUUAAAGAACUUGAAUCAUAGCUGAAGAUGUUAUAAGUAGCCUACAACACAGGUAGAAAUCAGUUAUAUACAGAAACUGCCCGCAACAAAGUACAAAAUUAAAGUGUUACCAGUCAACUGAAAGAGGGAAAUCACUAACUUUAAAUGAAACAAUACCGUUGAAAUACACCAUUUAGUUUUUUUUUGACAAUGGUAACUUUUUCUUCUAUUUAUCCACAGGUAUACUACAUCAAAGUAGCCCCUCUCCAAAAGUAUUACAAACUAGACCAAUUCCAUCUGUGCUUUUUGUCACAAAUAGUCUAAAACAUAUUUUCGAUUACUCUAAUUUGAAAUUCCUAACAGUAGUCAAAACUAUUUUAAAGUAUGAAUCAACAAUUUUAUUUAGUGAUCAAUGUAGCCCAACACAAGAAGCUGAAACUCAAAGCUAUCUGUGAAAACCAUCCAAUUUGCACUUGAUGAGGUAGAAUAGGAUUUGAAACAGCUCUUAACUAGAACUAGAAAACAAAAAGGAAGUAACACAAGUAGAUUAAAGAUCCAUUUGGAAAACAUAUCUUAAAACAAAACAGUUUUAUCAGAAUAUUAAGGGUGGGGUUUAUGGUUACUGAUAAACUAACCAAUGCAUAACCUUAACUCUUAACUGACAGCAUGAACUAAGCACAUAAACCCCUUGGACAGGAAAUAAGUUUUUUGUGCACUUGAUUUAGAAUAAUUAAAACUGCAGUUUAGGAGGAGAUUAACAAAUACCGACCCAGAGCCCAUUGACCCUGUACAAUCGUACGCUGAAAAAUCAGGCUAUAAACACAGAUUUCAAGUCUCUACCAUAAAAUUAGAUUACUAACAUUUGAGUACCAUGUAUUAACAAAAUGUUUGAGCUAAGAAGUGGUCACAUUCUUAAAGACAACGCAAGGAAAUCCAGAGUUCCAAACACACACACACCAAAAAAAUGGAAGCAAAAUAACAUUUCAGAUGUAACAGCCGAGAAUCAUCGCAGCUCUGAUUAAGCCUAAAUUCAUAAAACCAAUCGCUAAUACUGCAAAACCCUAACCCUAAACCCACAGAACUAAGGACAACAAAGGCAUAAAAAAGCUUGUAGACAACAAAAAUAACAAGUUUCAGCACAAAAAAAGAGAUAAAAAUCGAAAUUAUAACAACAAAUUGGAGAAAAAAUAGAUCAUUUUCUGCGUUCUGAUACCUCUACGAAAAGGAACGAUGAACUUGAUUGAGAGAUUUCUGAGCUCUAACAACAAAAUGCAGGCGACACCGACGGAGUUUGGAAUUUCGAUUGGGUUCCAAUUUUAUGAGUAGAAAAAGGAAAAACCUAAGGUAAAAAGAAGAGGGUCUCUGCAGACUGCAGUACCCCAGUACACACUCAGAUGGAGUAGCGUAUGGAUGCCACGUGUAGAAGGACAAGACUAAAGGGGUUGCAUUUCUUUCAUUUUGACACUUCAACCCUCAAGUUUAUUUCGGUUAAAUCUUUAACCCAUAUCAAAGUAUUUUAUUUGGGCCAAUUUUUUACUAAAGAAAUGUAUAAAAUAGAGUGCGUAGAUUUUAGUGAAAAUUGCGCAAAACCGACAAACAUCUCCAAGUAUAUUAUUAUGUAAAAUGACUAUAUUUUUAAUUAUUUUAAACUUGCGGCUAAAGUUUUUUUUUUUUGCGAAAUUUUUCUAUUCAACUUUUAAUUGUAUAAAUUCAGAAUUUGUAUAAUUCACCUUGAUUGUAUAAAUCUAGAAUUUGUAAAUGACUGUAACUAUUUGCAUAUUAUUUAUGAAAAAUAAUAAAUUAUCAUGUUUGUAUAUUAGCAAGAGAAAUAUACAAAUGAAAUGCUAAGAAAUUCAUAAAUGUAUAAAUAUAAAAUUUGUAUAUACUUAUCCUGUUUCGCAAGCGAAAUAUAAAAAAUUGAAUAUAUUCUAAGCUACAUGACUUGGGCUACAUGUUAUUUCUAAGGGAAUUUACACAAAUCACAGUGUUAACUAAUUAAAUCAUAUUUCUAACUCUUUUCAAAUUUACAAAAAAAUCAUUAAAUUUGGUGGAAUUCGGAUACAUCUCAAAAUGUUACGAUACAUCGCGUACUGAUUUCAGAUACAUUCCUCAACAUUUUGAUACAUCGCGUCUCAAUUUUGAUUACAUUACUCAAUGUUUUGAUACAUCACGGAAAGUGAUGUAUCCCAGAAUAUGAGAGAAGGAAUUUUUGUAAUUUUUUUAAAUGAUAGAAAAUUGUAAAAUAUAUGGUAAAAUGAGCGGUAUAUUUAGAUAAUUUUUCCUAUUUCUAAUCCAUUUCCCAUUUUCCAGGCAUUGAUUGGAAAUUGGAAAUGUUCUUUUGGAGUUGAAGAAAUAUUGGGCCUUUUAAUAUUGCAGCCAAGGAAAAUGAUGGGCUUUUAAUUGUUGGUUAGUGUGAUUGGCAUUACUAUGUGGACUAGCCCAGUUUGAGUUUUGGUGCCUACCUUUGCAGUUUAGUGUUUGUCCUUUUCAUAAUGAUGAUGGAGAAUAACUUCUAAAUCUAUUGAUCAAGAUUGCGGUGGACGGGUAAGUAUAAUCAGAGUUUUUGAAUUUAAGUUUUCUUUUGUACGUAGGUGCCUUUAAUAGGAGCAUUUUACCUGCACGAAUCCGAAUUUAGUUGAGCCCUAAUAUAAAAAUUGAACAUCAGAUGAAAUUAUUUAAAAAAAAAUAUACUCUAAGUAAAUGAAGAAAUGAAUAAAGGUGUAACAAGAUAAGCUUGAGCCUAACGUUUUAGACCGAUAUUAGGUACAUAGCGUAAAAUAGCAUACUACUAUAGUCCUACAAGCUUCUAAUUUUAAUUAACUUUGUAGCUAGAAUUGAUGCUCAUUUUAUUAUUCACUCUAAAAAGAAGAAUAAAAAAAUUAUGAACCGUUUAAAAGUUGUUAAAAGUGGAAAAUAGUAAUAUUCAAUUGUGAAUUCCAAAGACGGAUUUAGUACAUAACAUAUAAGUUCAUAUGAAUUUAACAACUUUCGUUUAAAUGAACGGAUUUAGUAUUCAUUUUUUUAAAAAAAAAUAUCUUUAAAUGUUUGAUUAUGAGUUAUCUUUUUAGAUUAACUUGAGAUAGUUAUGCAAAACAAUAAAUUUCAAAUUCUGACUACGUUUCUGACUCCAAUCAAAACUUCAAAACUCCAUUGAGUGAAAGAAAUAUUAUUGAAGAGAAUUAUUGCCACUCUAAUCCAUUCAUGUAAGAUAAGUAUUCUUGUUGUUUUCCAUGUGUAAAAAAGCAGGUCUAUACUCUAUAUACCUAAAAUUCUAUACCAGACAAUAACUAUAAAUUAGAAGGACCUGUGCAUUUGAAAUGACAUUUCUGAUCUUAAUAUAGAAAUUUGUUUUGUUUCACAUUUUAUAUCUUAAUUCUUUACCUUGUUAUUCUAAAAGAAAAAUGAAACAUAGUCAUCAAGCAGACGAGCAUUCUUUACCUUGAGUUUUAUUCCUCAAUCAGUAAUAAGUCUUUUCAAUGUCAUUUUAUUUCACCAAACUCCGUCCGUGCGAACUUACUUACAUUAAAAAACAGAGAGUUAUGAUAAGCUGACAAUCAAUAUAAACUUUACUUCCAUGAUACCUAAUGUGAUGAAGAUAUACAAUAAACUUAAAUAAAAGUAAAAAUUUAUAUAGUUAACCUAACUUAUUCAGUUCAGACUGAGAUGUAAUUUAUUUUAUAUAUAUAUAUAUAUGUAUCUUCUCCUUAUCGUAAGUUUCUAUUACUAGCCUAUACGAUUCCGCACAUCUUUAGGCAUUUGCUAUAUGAUAGUGGUAACAAAGGAAUAAUUAAAGCUUCUGAAUUUGGAUAUAUAUAUAUAUAUAUAUAUAUAUAUAUAUUCUUGUUUUUUACGUAAUGAAACGGAAGAAAAAUUAAUUAGUAUUAUUUUUAUAAAAAAACGACUUACACCUUCUCAGUAUUAUUUUUAUAAAAAAAAUAAAAAUUGAUCCACUAUUAUAAUGCUAUAUUAAUAUAUGACAAGUCAAUUCUUUUCAUAUUCUUUUAUUUAAUGAUUAUGUGUGGAAAUUAAUUAUGCCAAUGUUUUUUUUUCAUUGGAGUUGUCACUAUUUAAAUGGUGGAUGCAAUGAGAAUUGAGAACCACCAAAAUUGUAGGAAAAAAGAAGAAGAAAUGGUGAUAAAAUAAAGAUAAAGAAGGAGAAUAAUUAAGAAAGAAUAAAGACAAACGUGUCAUUGCCAAAGAUUCCCUGCAUUAUUAACGUUUAAUUUAAUAUAAUGUUUUCCACUUAAAGUUAUACUCAAAUAAAAGGGAAAAAAGAUAAAUAUACCCCCGAAUUAUCGUAAAUGAUAUGUCAAUACCCUCCGUUAUACUUUAUGAUUGUAUAUACCCUUACCGUCAAUAUUUUAGGUUGUGUAUACCCUUGAGACUAACGGUUGGACACAUGGCUACAUCUCAAUAAUUUACCUAAUAUUUAUUUUUUUAUCCGAAAUUAAAAAACAAAAACCACCCAUGUUCCCUAACCCAUCCAUAACCCGAAUUAAAACCUAUUUUCCAUAACAAUUCCCUUCAAACAGUGCUAAUUGUUCAUCUUCUUCUCUUCUUUAAUUCUCAAAAAAAUGUUGCACAAAUAAAAAAUUUCACUAACAUUAGCCUCUUUUUUUUGUGUGUGUGUUUAGAGUUCAUGGAUGAUUGCGCACAAAAUCAUCAAGUUAAUUUUGUGAUUGGCCACCGCAGUCGCCGCCUUCUUCUCCGAAGUUCACACAAACAUUUGAAUCAUUAGAAAUGAAAUUCGUGGCAUUUCUCUUGAUGAAAUGCAGUGAUUUUUUGUCGGUUGUGUCCGCCUUGAAGAGGCACCCAGCUUGGCAUUGACCUUGCUCAUUAAGACCGCCGAAAAAUCAUCGUCGACGACCAAUAGUGGUCUAUCCGAGUUCAAACCGUUUGAAUGAACCAAAAUUUCUUGAUGUUUGAUUUUUCGUCUGUUGAAACUAAUAGUUGGUUUUCGGUCUUUGAAACAAAUUGUGCAAGGCAAUUUAGUCAUUGUGCCCAUACAAUGAUGUAUAAGCUAAAUCUAUGUGGCUUAAACUCCAUGAUUGACCGCCUUCUCUCUCACUGUAAAGUCUUUUCAGCUUCAACGAGCAGCCAUGGCGAGGAACAAGUGAAAACGAAAUUAUGAUAAAAUCUGCACUCAGGCCACCAUUGAUGAGCUCUAUAGAAGAAAGGAAAGAAAGCUAAUAGAGAGCAAUUGUGUUGUGUUGAGAUUUUUAUUAUUCACACACUUCUAUAUUGAUCCUUACAAUCAUGGAUCCACUUAUAUACAGUGCAUUUACAAAGUUAGUUACUAACUAACUAUCCACUUGUCAACCUCUAAUUGGAAACUUAAUAACAAACUUCUUAACUAACUAAUCUAUACACAGUUAUCAACUAACUAUUCCUUCAUUUCUACAGUGAUGUUUUGGCACUUCAAUCUUCAAUGAGGAUUGCUGCAAUUUUAAUGUAAUUUUUUGUCAUUUCUCUGUCUUCCUCUUUAAUUUUUUUUAAGAUUUGAUUUAUAAAGUAUUGAUCUUUCAUAUGUAUGAACACCACAUAUUAAUAAGGGGUACCCAAAUCCAGCCAAAACUUCCAUUGAUUUUCAAAAAAGGUUUCAAGUGGGUUUAAAAUAGAAAUGGGGCGAUUUUUUUUUAAAUUUUGGACAAAAAUAAAUAAAUAAAUCGGGUUAGUCGUUGAAAUGAAGCCACGUGUUCAACCGUUAGUCGCAAGGGUAUACACAACCCAAAAUAUUGACGAUAAGGGUAUAUACAACCUUAAAGUAUAACAAAGGGUAUUAACAUACCAUUUACGAUAGUUCGGGGCAUAUUUAUCCUUUUUCCCCAAAUAAAAAGUUGUUAUAUAUUUAGUACAAAAUUCCUUCUUCUGGAAUAUGUUUUCCGAUUCGAGCCAAUGCCGGAGCCACAUGUAAUAAAGGGGAUUUAUGUAAAUUAGAAGAAAAAUAUUGCUGAAAAAUUAUAGUUUUAUAGAAGUAAAUUUUCUGAAUUCUCUUAAUAUUAGAAAAAUACAUGUUUAAAUUUAUGUGUGAUAAAAUAAAUUCUUAAAUUAAAAUUUUCAACUUGGUUACUGCUUUCCGCUAUGAUCAGAAAAUUUGAAACGUCAAACAAAUUAACAUCAAUACUUUUAAAAGCCUUGAAAUAUUGAGCUAGAGGAAAUAUUUGGAAGAACUAGCUAUUACCUUCUUCUUUUUUUGCCUUUCCAUCUAUAUUCGUAAUUCGCAUUGAAGUCCAACUAAUCUAAAUAUAUACGCAAGAUAUGCUACUCACCAAAGUUUUUUUUUUAUGAACUAGCUAUUACCCAUACAUAUAUACCUUGUCAAUUUUAAAAAAUAAAAUAAAUUUCACUAAAUAUUUGAUUAUAGAGAAUUUGUUUGUUUGACUUACUAUUCACGUAUACAAAUAAGAAAGCCAAAGUGGAAGGAAAAGAGAUACUACCAAUAUUGAAAUGCAUGGAUUAUUGCCGCUCUAUUAUAUUGUUGCCAUUAUUAUUGCCUUUGAUUUUGAAAUACAAUACGCCAAGGAUUAAGAGGUACUCCACACAUUUAUAUGAAACAAAAAUAUCUAUUCUCAGUACCCUUCCAAUUUAUUUUCAAUGUCUUUCACUUAUCCUUUUAUCUUUUAUCAUCCGUCUCUUCACCAUUGCUGUUAAUUUCUAUUUCUAGCUAGUCAGUUCAAACUUUGAUGAACAAACUUAUUUCCUAUUGCGAAAGAUGAUAAGUAUUCAGUGAAAUUAAUUAGUCGGGUGUAAGUGAGCUAGCUAGUCUUGUCAAUCCCAGGACGGAUGACAUAAGAAUUUUUUUCUUUCUAUUUUUAGUCAUCUUUCUAAAUAGUUUUUGUGAACAAAGUUAUUUAUUACUUGCGUGGGUAGAAGAUAAUAGGGAUCCCAAAAUUAAUUAGACGAAUGUGUGCAAGCUAUCUCAAUUUCUAGUCAUCGAACAAAGUUAUUCUGAAUUUGUAUUGGUCAAAGAUUUCAUUUACUCCAUGAAAUUAAUUGGUCGUGAGAUGAAAACAAAUUGAUUCAAACACUACGGUAAUAAAAAAAGUAGUUUAUUUUCAAUUGUCCAAGCCUAUUGGUGAACAAAUUAGUUAUUUGUUAUAUAUGUUGGUUUAAAAGAAUAGGUACUUCAAUAAAUUAAUUAGUUGAGUUACACUCGAACUGAUUCAGAAAUCCCGAUUAUAAUUUUUUUAUAUAUAUAUAUAUAUGAAUCCACCCCCCUACAAAUUAAAGUUGUUAUAACCUAAUGAAUUAAGCACAACAUAGAAGUUAGAACUUAUUCCUUUUAAUUAUAAACAAAUAAAAACGCCAUAAAGCAUUGAUCUAGUGCAUGCUAAAAUCAUUGAUUUAACAAAUAAUAGAUUCUUCUUAUGAUCUUCUUUUGCUUUAUGAUUAUGUUUAGAAAUUAAAUGAAAAAAAGGUGGUUGGGACAUUCUUUUUUAUUGCACUUUAAUGGUGAAGUACUGAGAGCCACCAAAAUCAGAAGAAAAAAGAAGUGAAGGAGAAGACACGAGAAAUAAAAAGAAAAGGACAAACCGUAAUACACAGUAAGUCUACGUUGUUGUUGAUUAAUUGGGAAAAGUUUUGACAUUUUCAUUAUUAAUAAAUAAAAAGAUUCCUUUGACAAUAUGCACUUUUAGUAUAUAUUUCCAGUUAAUCUUUUCACUAAAAGCAGUAGUAUAUUUUAUUUAGCACGAAACCCCAUGUGUUUGUGGAUUAGAGGAUGCCUUUUAUCAUUCCACUCAACUUAAGUUGGACCUCUAACUUCUUUGAAAAUAAAAUGUUAUCGAAUCUGAUUUAACGUUAAAAACUAGCUUAAGAGAUGAAGAUCGUUCAAAAUUAUAUAAAAAGUUUAAACUUUCUUCCCAUUGUUGAAAGUUUAACUACAUCACCAUCAAAUGCUUGUAUGGAUUCAACAAGGUUUUGACUACAUUAAGUAAUUGAAAAUCUUACUGAUACCGGAUAUCAUACCUCUUUCAAUGUGCGCCGUGCAUCUUGCAACUCGUCAUUACUUUGGCGCUCUUUCAACAGGAGAGUCUGGUUUAGAGACUCCAUACAUCCAUCUCCUCCAUUUUAUCUUUCAGCUCCUCAUUCAUCUCUUUAAUCUUAUUCUGUACAGCUGCAUCGUCAUUGCCUCCAAGGUGCUUCAUAACCUCUAGUUUUCCUUUAAGUUCUGCUAUUUCCAUUUCCAGUUUUUGCUUCGCAUCAAUGUCCCUCUCUAGCUCAAGAAUCUUUUUCAAGGCCUCCUCCUUCUCCCUCUGG
rnacentral:lncRNA from 1 species